AACUAAUUAAUAAAAAAAUCCCUAAUAAGAGAAGAAAGAAACUCACGCUUUCCCCUCUUUCUUCUCGACCAUAACGCAUAAAUCAAACCCCUUUUCUCUCAUUUGAUUACUUCUCAAUCACUAGAGAACCUUUCGAUCAGUACAGAACCCCUCAACUCAACCUUCAAUCGAACGCUUCAACGCUCAAUUCAUCAAUCUCAUCAUUCGGACCUCAACCCUCAAUCUCUCACUUCAACCCAUUCGAAAAUAUCAGAAGCCCUUUCUUCCUUCUUUGACAUUUAAGAGACUCUUAACCUUUUGCUGGCUAGUGUUUUGGUAAUCAAACAAUCUCAUCUCACAGUUACUUAUUCUUCCCCAUCUCUCCAUGUAUCCUCUCAUCAACCCUUAUCUAGUCCACGAAAUCAUAAAUCUCUAAAACUCUUUCGAUAAAUUUCCGAGUCACGAAAUUUUGAAAGUGACAGCGAUGAUGUUUGUUGCAAUUGAUGAAGGUAGCAAUGUUUCUCGUAAUUCACAAAGACCUUUGGAGAAACUGAAGGAUUGGUUGCUAUGUGAAAAUCUAUAAGCAGAGUGAGUUUACUGAAAUAUACAACAGUUAGCUGUACACAUUUGACUUUAACUUCUGUAAGUUAUUCAAGAACAGAGCUUUUCUUAACAGCAAAAGGGCUGUGUUUAAGCAUACAAAGUCUAUUGGUCAAGCUGUGUCAAAGGAGUUCACUCCGGAAAGAUGGUUCUGCCUCUGGUCGAAGCAAUUGAUGUUUAUUUGGAAUGCGUAUAUAUGUAUGGAUUGUUUAUCAGCAACGCGCCUCAUGACAUGUCACCUUCUGUGGACCGUUCUCUUUUUGGAAUGUUUGCUUUGGGGUAUGGUCGUGAUCCUCCACUCACUCUAUGAGUAACUCUCGUCGGUUAAUCCGUUUCAUAGCUCUUUAGAUUUUAAUUUUAUCGAUUCAACUGUUGAAUUAUCUUAACGAAAAUGUAUAUAUUGUUUGAAAAGUAUAUUCAAGCAAUAAUGAAUACCUACAUUCAGCAAGCUUCCAAAAUGCAAUCAGUACCUCCUCAAGAAAUGCCUUUCCCUAAUUUUUUCUUUAGAUGAUUGAAACAAAAAUUGAAAUUUCAAGAGCAAAUUACACAUCAAAAUAUUAAUAUCUUUUCCGCAGCAGAA